UACGUAGGUCCCGAGCGUUGUCCGGAUUUAUUGGGCGUAAAGCGAGCGCAGGUGGUUUAUUAAGUCUGGUGUAAAAGGCAGUGGCUCAGCCAUUGUAUGCAUUGGAAACUGGUAGACUUGAGUGCAGGAGAGGAGAGUGGAAUUCCAUGUGUAGCGGUGAAAUGCGUAGAUAUAUGGAGGAACACCGGUGGCGAAAGCGGCUCUCUGGCCUGUAACUGACACUGAGGUUCGAAAGCGUGGGGAGCAAACAGG
rnacentral:rRNA from 1 species